UGACAGAUUUUUCAUUUUUGGGUGAACUAUACCUUUAAAUCAUCGCACUGAGUCGUUAAAAAGAACAUGAUCAUAAAAGUCACUAGUUCGUGAAUCAUGCAUCACGGUGUUCGUUGUUUUUACGGUAAACACCGGCGCGUGCUGUGAAGAGAUUAAUCUAAAGAUAUCACAUAUUUACACCCGGAAAACUGUUAUAACUGUCACCAAUGUCGACUAGACGUUACAUUAUUGACGAAAAAUUUUAUUUUUGUAACUAUUUUAGCCAUUGUACUACUCGAUAUUUGACAGCGCGAGUUAGUUACGUUAGCCUACCUUUGCAAUCCACUGCAUGGUUUUUGAUGAGGAAAAAGUGCUGCCCAGAAGGUGAUAAAGCGGCUACAAGACCAAGUUUAUUGCCAGCACUUCUCUUUCCAGCCCUGCAAAGGUCCUCAGAGUCGCAACAGAUGUUCAGCACCUCAACUCUCAAGGUGAACAACAACGUCAUCUAGCACUCCCUUGCGGCCCCCUUAGGGUUUCUGGACCCCUGUUUAAACCCCUGCAGUAGGCGAUGACCUCAGCAUGCAUGAAGGAAGUCUUCCAUGUUUUCCUGCUAUCCUUUUCCAUACCUGUUGUUUUGUGAUGUGCUGCUGGAAAAAAGUAUAUUAGCCAUGGUGACACAUACAAAACCUCAUUCUACGUCACUGCAGCAAGAAAAAUAACAGAAGGAGGUUAGGUGAUGCUGUUCAGUUGCUUCCUGUUACAACUGGAGAGACAUGUAAGUGUCACCGGAGUCAUUUCUCACCUUAUUGAGAUGCCAACCUCCUUUUGUAUCAUCCCCUGACAAUUGAAGCUGAGGUCUAGGUGUUUUCUAUUAUGAUGCACCAUUCACAGCAUCUGUUUUUUUGCAAUUACCCAAGAUGAUCCUGAAAUAUACAUAUAUAGCUUGCCCUUUAUACAUAAUAUAUUGUAUAAUAAUUUCUAUGGUGCAUAUUUUAGUUAGUUUAUGUUUAUAUUUUAGUUAGAUUAUACUAGGACCUUAAAUAACAUAUAAAGGCAAACAGGCAUAAUACAAGAAAUAAUAACAUCAGUAUGAUGAAGAGAACAAAUUUUAAGACUUUGUUGCUUGAAUUGCAAAAAAAAAUCCAAGGAAAAAAGCAGAACAACGACAGAGGACAGAGGAAAAAAGAGAAAGAAAGAUAGGAACCCAAGGUGCCUCUUUUGUUUAAUUAGCUGAGCCAAAUUAAUUAGUAACAGAAGCUUGAAUUAAUUAUGGUUGAAAAGCGGCAAAGAGACUGACAGUCAUGGUAACGUCCCAAAGAUUUACUGUUUCAGCUACUGUUAUUGUGCAAUUAGACAGUCUCUCACUUUCUCUUCAGCUCAUUAUAAUAUAAAUAACAUUGCUCCCAAAAUACAGCUUUUAUUUCCUUUCUACUGCUUGUGUCAUGCUGUUUCUCCUCUGAAUCUGUUCUUUUUGAUUGGGCUCUGUAAUUUGCGGCCUUUUAUUUGUUUUAUUGCCUGAGUGCUUGCUGUUAUUUGUUUUAGUGCCAGUGUAUUAUUGGAAAUGUUUGGUUCAAGUCACUCCGCUUUACUGGUGGAGUAUGAGGAUUUGGGAUUGCAUGAGUCAAUCCGCAUCGGAUGCUUUUGUCCUUAAUAAGCUUUUUAACUAGCUUAAUCAGCAAGGUCAACCUUUGUCAAUCAUGAUUACAAUUUUUUAAUUGAGUAUGAUUUUUAAUUUCAAUUUCUUAAUUUGAUGUAGCAAACAGGAUGCAUAAUUGAAUACUCUAAAGUAGAAUAAACAUUGAAAAGUAUUAAAUUUCAAUAUGUUGUGUUAGUUUUAUCUAAAUCAGAGGUUUUCUUGUGGAAACCUCCCUCCUUUUCUCUUGAAGCCAUUACGGAAGUGACUUAAACUGCAAUUCAUAGA